CCUACGGGAGGCAGCAGUGGGGAAUAUUGCACAAUGGGCGCAAGCCUGAUGCAGCAAUGCCGCGUGUGUGAAGAAGGCCUGCGGGUUGUAAAGCACUUUUAUUAGGAAAGAAAAACCCGGAGUUAAUACCUCCGGCAUUGACGGUACCUAAAGAAUAAGCACCGGCUAACUCAGUGCCAGCAGCCGCGGUAAUACUGAGGGUGCGAGCGUUAAUCGGAAUUACUGGGCGUAAAGCGAGUGUAGGCGGCUACGUAAGUCGGUUGUGAAAGCCCCGGGCUUAACCUGGGAAUUGCGAUCGAUACUGCGUGGCUAGAGUUUGACAGAGGGAUGUGGAAUUCCGGGUGUAGCGGUGAAAUGCGUAGAUAUCCGGAGGAACACCAGUGGCGAAGGCGGCAUCCUGGGUCAAAACUGACGCUGAGGCUCGAAAGCGUGGGGAGCAGACAGGAUUAGAUACCCUGGUAGUCCACGCCCUAAACGAUGUCAACUAGACGUUGGGUUCAUUAAGGAACUUAGUGUCGAAGCUAACGCGUUAAGUUGACCGCCUGGGGAGUACGGCCGCAAGGUUGAAACUCAAAGGAAUUGACGG
rnacentral:rRNA from 1 species